rnacentral:lncRNA from 1 species
UUUAUUCGAACAAAGCUUGCAAUUUUGAUUUUUGAUUGAUUCUGUUUCCUUAAUUCUUACAAACUGUGUGUUUCAAAAAUGUUUCCUUAAAUAACUUUAUGUAUUCACCCUUAUUUGUAUACUAUGCACACGUUGUUUACUUGAAUCCCUUUCCUUAAAUAUUUUCUUCCUUUACUCAUCAAAUUAGGAUUCCUUAAUUAAAGGAAUCUCUGUCAGUUGAUUGAUCUUAAUUGCUACUCGACUAAUUUUAUUUCCUUGUUUGCAUGUCUGAUUGCGAGAAUAAAUACAUGUUUUUGUUUUCACUUUAGAACAUCAUCGAAUCCUAACUCCAAAACAAAGUGAAAAUUCACCUCUCUUCUUUACUACUGCUAUUACUACUUUCUAUUUCUACACUUCUCUACACUCUCUACUGAGCAUUUUGCACUCCUUACUGUUUGAACUCCUAGACACCUGGGAGUUUCUUGAGUUCGUUCCUGUUUAUUCCUGGUUUUCUGUUUGUUGCUAUUAGUCUGCUAUCCUAGAAUUAUAACUGGUAUGCCCUUCUAUGCUCUAUGAGCAUCCUUAUUCAAUUUCUCUGCUUCUACCCCUUUCUUUGUAUGCUUUCAUGUACUAUUUACCUACUUUCAAGCAUGCUAAUCCCUUUCCCCUGUUCGCUUUGUAUGUAAGUUUGUUCUAGGUCAUAACAACAUUAUCAACUGUUGUAUGUGAUUCAAGACUAGAUUCUUUUGAGUCUCUACUCGUUGCUUUCCCAUUCCCUUUCCCCUCAUUGUGCUGAGCUCUAUUUUGGUCCCUGAUCAUCAUUC